UCCCUCCCUCCCUCCUCCUUCUUUCUUUCUCUCUUUUUCCCCCUUCUCUCUCUUUCUCUGUGUGUGUGUAUGUCUCUCUCUCUCUUUCUGUGUGUGUGUGUGUGUGUGUGUGUGUGUGUGUGUGUGUGUGUGUGUGUGUGUGUGUUUGAGUAUUCCAGUGUGUUGGGAGAAGGUGACGCGGUGAAAUAAGAACCGUGACACAAUGGAUGCAUUGGGGGAACUUGUGUGAGACACUGGCUUUUUCUCUGCACUCUGUGGACUAUCACUGUGAGAUUUCAGUAGGCCCAUUUAUAAAGAAGCUGCUGACUCAUGGGGUAGUCAGACUGAAAGGGACCUAUAACAGAGGGUGAGUCAAGAGUGAGGAAGCAAUUGGAACAGGUGGUGAUAUGGGCAGCAUGUGGCUGGCAGAAAUGAUGAGACAUUGUUGAGUUCUUUCACUGUUUAGGUGAUAACCAGUGAGAAUGCCUAUGGAUGUGGGGUAUGAAAGAGAGAAGGAAUGCUAAGUAACUUCAAGGCUUAGUGGGCAACAAUCAGAACAAUUGGAGGAACGUAUUGCUGCAGAAAGGGGAUUAGGUUCUCAUUGGGUGUGUCACCUUUCUGACUUCAGUUGAGAUAGCUGGGAGACAGGAGUAAUUCAUAGGACUCAGUUGUAGACACUCUGUCUGCAUAGUCCUAAUAUAAACCUGUGACACUAGAUGUGUUCAUUGAAUGCACUGUUUAAGAUAAAAAGCAGAAUACAUUUAAAGCAUAACAUCUAAACUACUUGAGCAUUAAAAGGUCUUGGGACAAAUCAGAACAAAUAGGAAGAAAAAAACCAAAACAAAUGGAAAUAAAGAACCUGUAUUGUAUAGUUCUUCAAACUCUGCCACUGCAUUGCUGUUACUACAAUAUAAAGUAGGACCUGAGGUUUGGCCAUUGCUUGCCUCUGUGGUCUCUGGAGACUGUGGUGAUACUGUGGUUAUAGGGUUCUGUCAUGUAGGAAGGAGCUCCUUGAAACAUUGAAAACAUGUUCCCUACAGGUUGCUUCAGCUACACAGAUCAUGCCUAUUUGUAAGUAUAAUUUGUGAAAUGCUUUAGUGACUUAGAAAACACAGCUGGUUUUACUCUAUCACCUCAGAGGAGCACCAUUCUAGCAGCUGAACAAAGUUGUAGUAUUUGCUAAUGGAAGCCCUGUUCACAAAGACAGUUUCUAGAGUGGAAUCAAAAGAAAGAAAAGGGAAGAACCAAACAUAUGCACAAAAUAAAAGGAUGCACAAUUCUUACCAUUGGGAAGCCAAAAAAGUAUAAAAAGUAAAAAUAAAGUUGUGUCUUUAUUUAGAAGGAUUUAGAAUCACAACAAUAUUAUGUGUCACAUGCAAAUGGAAAACUCAGUGAGGCACGGUUUUCUGCCCUUGAUACUGGACAUGGUUUAUGGUGUUGUCUCCUUUAAUCUUUCCUUGUGAGAGGAAAAAGAAACAGAGACAUAUAGUUAACAAUAACAUUUAAAACUGCAUGUGUCAUUUGUCCAAACUUACAGUCACAGCACCCAGAAAAUGCAUAGGAUACAGUAAACAAUCAGUGAAGGCUUGCUGAAUAUGGCAGUGGUUUGAAUUGUGUUUGUAUUCACAGUCCUUGAGCCUUUGCUGAAGAGUCUCCAGGCAGUUUUCCACAGUCUGUCUAUACAGCUCUUCACUUGGGCAUUUUUAGUUGGGAGAGUGAGCAUCACAGGACACACUUAUUCACAAGCUAAUUUAUCAAGACCCAAGAGCAGGCUUUUCUAUUUCUACAUGUGACCCAGACAUGUUUGACACAAUUUCAGUGUUCAACAUAAUCACAGAUUUGUACAUUCAAAAGCCACUUCAUUAUGCAAGUUGUAUUAACAUUUGUUAUCCUGCCAAAUAAUUCAUUCAAUAAAUUUAAAUUUAAAAUAUGUCUUAAAUGCUGAUGUUUUACUGAUUAUAAAAUAACAUAUGCUUAUUAUAGGAAGUUGGGAAUAUGCAGAAAAAUCCAAAGAAGGAAACCCUUCACUCUCAGUCCCAGAGUUAACAGAAAACACUUUUCAAAGAUUUGGUGUGAUUUUCUUUUGCCAGUCAUUAAAAGUUCAUUGCUCUGGAAGUAACUGUAAUAAUAACUCCAUUGCUUAUUCACACACAAGGUGAAUUACCUGACCUAAAUGUACCAAAAAAUCUGUGAAGAAAAGGAAUUAGUGUUAAGACAUUUCAUGAGUGAGAUAAACAAGACAAGGAGACUGGGCUGCUUUCUCAAGGUUGCAGUUAGAGCCCUACUGACGCCAUUGAACUCACCCCUCUGGUUUCAAGUGCUGUUAAAUCUAACUUCUCUCUGGUUGAUAAAGGUCUAUUCUGCUUUUACAUGUCCAUCACAAACACUUUAACAAUUAAACAUUCCUCUCCCUAUCCUUCAUUGAUUGAGCCCCUUGAAGACACAGCCUUCCUAGGCCUUGCUCUCUGAUUCCACAUGCUCCUUUAUAACGAUACACUUGUUCUUAGGUUUGUGGUCUCCUUUUGUUGUUUGACAAAAAAAAUAUUUGAAAUAUAAAUUAUUGACAAGACAAGAGUUGCUGAAUAAAACAAAUUGUCCAGCAGGUGACAUUCUGCGUCUCACUCCUAAUGCUGCUUUUGGGGUCCACCACUUUCUUGCCUGCCUCGCGAAUGUCAGUACAGGCUGAGGUGAACCCUUUCCAUGAAUUAUUACUUUCAAAAUCUUAUGGAGGAAAAGGGCUCAGUGCUUUGCAGUUUGAAGGCUGGGGCAGAUUUGUCAGACAUGGUUUGACACUUCGUGAAUCCAUCCGCUGGAUAACAGUAAGACUCAUUUCCCAGCAGCAUCAGUGGUUCUCUCAAGGAGAGGGUGGUUAGGCUUAUUUUCUAUAAGGAAGCCUGCUGCAUUAAAAAGGGAAAUAAAUACUCUGCUUUCGUUUUACUUUUAUUUUCUCUAGAGAAGACAGAAUCACUUCUUUGAGGUGCCCAACUUUGAAAGGUCUGCUGAGGUUGCUAUUAUCAUCGUUUGUUACAGUGGCUUUAAAAAACAAAACAAAAGAUGCCUAUAUUCAGUGUGUCUCUUCAGAACUUAUUUUAUUUUCAACACCCAGUCCUGCUUCUUUGCUGAUCUUUUGCAUGAUGCUGUGCUGGCAUUAGCUUUGCUAUUUAUGAUUUCUACAUUUCCAUUAUGAUGCUCACAUGUUUAUUUUAGUGCAGAAAUAUAUUUCACCAACUCUAAAAACCCAAACCAUUAGAAUAUACAUCUGCCAUUGAAAUCUUGCUGAUUGUAUCCACAAAUGAAAAGAGAAGACCCUUGCUCCCAUUUUAAUCCAUUAAAAUGGAUAGUUCAUUAUCUCUUCUUAGGUCUCCAGGAGGCUGGAUAUCUACUGGGGGGCUGGGGAGGGGGGGUACAGAGCCAUUGUUUACUAUGAUGAACUACUAAAACCUGUCUGCAUUUCAGUUGCAAACCCAGAGGCAUGGCCCUGCCCCAUUUAGGGAAUGUCUUCACAUUGCUUAACUCUGUGUUCCUAUAGGGAAAUGCACACAAUGUUUUUUCUGUAUAAAGCAUAAAGAUGAAAUUCGAAAGCCUGGCUCUGCUACUCAAUACCCAGACUGGAAAGGAGAUCACAUUGAUGCUUUCUACAAGGAACCUUAUUUUUUGUUGCCACAGUCCUCCAAACUGUGACCCUUUUAUCUUUGCCUUCAUAAUAUCUAACACACUUCUCCUGGGGAUGAAUGUUAUGUUACCCUAUUAUUUCCUGCAUUUCUGGUCAUACAUUAAAAACUAAUGUACUUUAUAUUUGUAAUUAUGUAUAAAGUCACAAAUUUCAUUUUUUAUUUGUCCAAUCAUAUUAAGUAAGCAGUUUCCAAAUACAGUAACUUUUACCUAGAGUCAGAUAUUGAUAAUUCUUUAGUUAAUUUGUUAUUAUUUUGGAGUAUUAUGUGUCUGUCUUUGAAGCUGAGAUGUGUUUCUUGUAUGCAAUGGAAGAAUGGAUUCUGUCUUCAUAUCCAUUCUGUUAGCCUGUAUCUUUUUAUAGGCAAGUUAAGAUCAUUGACAUUGAGGGAUAUUAAUGACCAUUGAUUGUUGAUUCUUUUUUGUUUUGGAUUUGUUGGUGGUGGCGUUAUUGUGUGUGUAUUUCCCCACUUUUUUUUUUUUGGUAAAGUGGGAUUUCCCGUGGUUUUUUUGAGUGUAGUUAUAUUUAUUACGUUGGAGUUUUCCUUCCAUUAAUUUCUGUAGGGCUGGAUUUGUGGACAUGUGUUGCUUAAAUCUGGUUUUGUCAUGGAAUAUCUUGGUUUUCCAUCUAUAGUGAUUGAAUGCUUUGCUGGAUAAAGUAGUCUGGGAUGACAUCCAUGUUCCCUUAGAGUUUGUAGAACAUCUAUCCAUAAUCUUCUGGCUUUCAAAGUUUCCAUUGACAAGUCGGGUGUAAUUCAGAUAGGUUUGCCUUUGUAUGUUACUUGGCCUUUUUCUUUUGCUGCUCUUAAUAUUUUUUUUUUAUUCUGUACGUUUGGUGUUUUGAUUAUUAUGUGGUGAGGGGACUUCCUUUUGUCGUCCAAUCUAUUUGGUGUUCUGUAAGCUUCUUGUACUUUCAUAGACAUAUCUUUCUGUAGGUUAGGGAAGUUUUCUUCUAUGAUUUUGUUGAAUCUGUACCGUUGUGCUGAAUUUCUUCACCUUCUUCUAUACCUAUUAUUCUUAGGUUUGGUCUUUUCAUGGUGUCCCAUAUUUCCUGGAUAUUUUGUGUUAGGGAUUUGUUGGACUUGAGAUUUUCUUUGGUCUGUAUAUCCUCUAGUGAGUCUUCAACACCUGAGAUUCUCUCUUCUAUAUCUUGUAUUCUAUUGGUUAUGCUUUCAUCUGUUUACCCAGCUUUUCUAUUUCCAGCAUCCCCUCAUUCUGUGUUUUCUUUAAUGUUUCUAAUUGUGCUUUCAAACCGUGAACUGUUUGAAUUGUUUCCUUCACUUGUUUGGUUGUUUUUUCUUGGUUUUCUUUAGAUUCUUUAAGGGAUUUGUUUAUUUCUUGAAUUUUUGAUUUGUCUUUUCCUCCAUUUCAUGUAAGUUUUUGCUUGUUUUUUCUUCUAUUUCUUUAAGGGAUUUUCUUUUUUUCCUCUUUAAUAGUCUGUAUCAUCUUCAUAAGAUAAUUUUUAAGGUCAGUCUCUUUUUCAUCUUCUGCAUUGGGCUUUUCAGUUCUUGCUUGUGUAGAGUCCCUAGAUUCUGGUGGUGUCAUAUUGGUCUUUCUGUUGUUGAGUGUGUUCUUAUACUGUCAUCUUCCCAUCCCUUCUUCCAGUGGGUGCAGGUGGGGUCUCUCCCUCUCUCAGGUGGCAAGUGGAAGGCUCAGGCAGCAGACUCAGGUGGCAGGUGGAGGGCAGAAGGCAGAGGGCAGAGGGUGGACAAGGAUGAGGUGUGUCUGUACUCAGGGUGCCCCACCACAUCCCCCAUCAGCUAUUUUCUUUGAUGAUAAAAUGUCUCUAAGGGGUCCUAUUUGCUUAUCCAGAACAAGCCUCCAUUAGAACCACAAAGGUCCAUUUAGUGAGUGAGUAUAGACUUGAACACUUUUGGUGGUCAGGCAAAACACUAUUAUUUUAUUCUAUGAGAUGUUGUGUCCCAACAGGCAUUUGUGUUUGUAAGUGAUGUGGAAAGGAAUGAGUAGCCACUGAGCCAUUUAUCCUGACUAUGUAAGUUAUUAGUUAUUAUGAAAUACCAUAAACAAAAGUUUUCUAACAUCCUUACAUAGCACAAAGAAUGUGAAAUAGUAAUUAUUAUUAUACUUAGUUAGUUAUAAGUUAACUAGAUAAGCUCAGAGUCAUAUCAGUUGGGUCUAGUAAAUACUUGUCUAUCAGUACACCACCUGAGUUUUGAUAAAAUACCAUAAACAACAGUGCAGAAUGCCCAGAGAGGAGACUAACUGUUUAUGCCAGCCAGAAUGAUAAUUCUCAUCAUCCAUAAACUACUAACAGAAAUCUCACAAUAACCACCACCCAUUCAAACUCUACAAAUCAGGCAAAGGAACAGGAACAAUGAAGAGAAUAGUCCAAUCAAUAGAAGGCAACAGAACAUAUCUUAAAAUUGGCAGAGGAUAUAAUAUACUUAUUUUGACUGUAUUUCAUAUAGUAAGAACUAUGAGUCUUUAAAGAAAGAAAUUAAAGAAUAUACCAGAAAAUGGAAAGAUCUCCCAUGCUCCUGGAUAGCUAGAAUCAACAUACUAAAAAUGGCAAUCUUGCCAAAAGCAAUCUACAGAUUAAUGCAAUUCCCACCAAAAUCCCAACACAAUUCUUCACAGACCUUGAAAGAACAGUACUCAACUUCAUGUGAAAAACAAAAAACCCAGGAUAGCCAAAAAAGCCCUAUACAAUAGCAGAACUUCCAGAGGCAUCACUAUCCCUGAAUUCAAGCUCUAUUAUAGAGCUAUAGUCCUGAAAACAGCUUGGCAUUGGUACAAAAGUAGGCAGGUUGAACAAUGGAAUCAAAUUGAAAACCCUUAUAUUAACCCAUAUACCUUAUGAACACCUGAUUUUUGACAAACAACCUAAAUUUGUACAGUGGAAAAAAGAAAACAUCUUCAACAAAUGGUGCUGGCAUAACUGGAUUCAGACAUAUAGAAGAUUGCAGAGUGACCCAUAUCUAUCGUCAGAACUAAACUUAAGUCCAAAUGGAUCAAAGAGCUCAACGUAAAUUCAGCCACACUGAACCUCCUAGAAGAGAAGGUAGGUGGUACCCAUGAACAAAUUAGUACAGGAGACCAUUUUCUGAACAUAACAGCACUAGUUCAAAUAUUGAGAUUGACAAUUAAUAAAUAGGACCUCCUGAAACCAAGAAGCUUCUGUAAAGCAAAGGACACAGUCAGCAAGACGAAAUGCCAGCCUACAGAAUGGGAAAAAUUAUUCACCAACCCCACAUCUGACAGAGGGCUGAUCACCAAAAUAUACAAUGAACUCAAGAAGCUAGCCACCAAAACACUAAACAAUGCAAUGAAAAGAUAAGAGUACAGAAAUAGAGAAUUCUCAACAAAGGAAUCCAAAAUGGCUGAAAAACACUUGAGAAAGUGCUCAACAUACACCCAAAGAAUGCACACUCAUACAAUAAGGACAUAUGUUCAACUAUGUUCAUAGCAGCAUUAUUGUAAUAGCCAGAACCUGGAAACAACCUAGAUGUCCCUCAACUAACGAAUGGAUAGAGAAAAUGUGGUAUAUUUACACAAUUUCCCCACUCUGUGGGGGAAAACAACAACCAAAAAAACAAUGGAAUCUUGAAAUUCGCAGGCAAAUGGAUAGAAGUAGAAGAAACCAUCCUCAGUGAGGUAACCCAAAUCACUAAAAGAUAAACAUGGUAUGUACUCACUCAUUUUUGAUUUUUAGACAUAGAGCAAAGUAUCACAAGCCUACAUUCCACAUUGCCAGAGGAGCUAGGAAACAAGGAGGACCCCAAGAGAAGAUUGCAUAGGCUCUUGAAAAAGGGGAUGGGGACAAGAACCCCUGACCAAACUGGAGCCCGUGGGCAGGGAGAGGAAGGAGAGGCUUCAUCCAGUUGCUGUUUGAAGCAAAAACAGACAACCAUAGCUAGGCACUGAACAAUACUACUGGAAUUCGGUUGUGGAGAGGGAGGAUUGUUGAGCAAACUAGCCAAGACGGUGAUGACGAAACCUACAGAAAUAUUGGACCUGACCUACUGUCAUAAAGCUGGGGAAACAGCAUUGGACCAAACCAAACCCUCUGAAUGUGGGUACCAGCUAGGAGCCCAAGAGAGUCUAUGGUUCCUCUAACAGUGGAGCCAGUCUUUAUCCCUAGGGCACAAAUAGACAUUGGGAGCCCAUUCCCUAUGGAGGGAUACAAUUGCAGCCCAGACACAGCAAGGAGGGUCUAGAUCCUCCCCCAAACAAUAACACAGACUUUGAAUGUCCUUGGUGGAGGGCCUCACUAUCCCUGGGGAGGAUUCGGGGUGUGUAGUAGGGUGGGGUGUGUUGGUUGGGGAACAUGGGAGGAUGGGAGGGUGAGAGAAUGGGGGAGAUGGAUAUGUAAACAUGAGUAAUUAAAAAUAAUUAAAAAUGAAAAAAGAAACCAGCUGAUAAGCUGAGGAGAGAAAGUAAGAAGAUAAUUGGCCAAUGCCCAAAUUCAUCCAUCCUAGACAACACGGAGAUUAUAAGUGGAAGAUGACUUUGUCAUAUACAUAUAAGUUGAAAGAAAGAAAUUGUGCUUAUUCAUCUUUUCUGGAGAUACAUUCUGAAGGAAUGUAGAAGAGUAAUCCUAACCAUAAUGUUUUGCCCAGGCUCUCUCCAUAGCAGAAGAAGCCUGCUAUGGGAGCAGACACCAUGUAAUCCAGAUGUGGAUCACUACACAAAGGCACCAGAGAAAGUUUUAAGAGCCAGGGAGAGAGAUGCAGACAAAGGAUUGGAAAAUCUUUCAAUAUACUCAGUCUCAGCUCAAGUAUUUCAAAAUGCCAGAUUCUCUACCGGCAUUUACAGUGAAAAUCCAGCAGCAGACCACACUGCCUGACUCUAGAUCCAUGUGGACAUGCUCAGUGUAAUCAAGAAGAGGGUUUGGCAUCUGCAAUCUGACAGCUUUCAUCUUUUGCAGAAGCUGUGUUUGAAAAUCUUGUGAUAUAUGCCCUUUCCUCACAUCUAAACACACAGCAUAGCUUCUCGUCUAUGAAGUGUUUCCAUGUUGGAAUUUCAACAGUCAAGAAGAGAAAUGCCAGGAGAAUUGUUUGUGACAACAAGAUGAUAUGCAAAAUAGUUUUGGAUAUCAGUUCCCUUGGAACGUCUCAAAUGUGAAAGCUUAUUUGUUUGGAAGAGAGGAAUUCUCUUUAGCAGCAAAGAGAGUAACAAAACAGCCAAGGUGGAGUGAACAUGAUUAAAAAGAAAUAGAGUCAGGGAAACAGCAUUAUAUUACAUUUUCCUCUAAAUCUAAGCUACUAUAUCUGUAUAUGAGCAGAGAACAGAAAAGCUGGUAUGCAGAAAGCAGGCGUCCAUCCUAAUAUCCCAACACACUGGAUGUAAGAAAGCACCAGCUACAUGCCAUAAGAUCUAAUUACCACGAAUUGCCUUUCCUGCCCCACAGCAAUCAUUUUGAUGACAGGCUUCUCUGCACUGUAAAACAAAAUGGGAAACCUGUGCUGUAUAAACCACCUCAUGCUUCUUUUCUUCCUCUGCUAUCGGCCUCCCUAUCUCAUUUAUUUUCCACACAUUAAUGGUAGCAGUCACCUUGAGCUGGUGAUGCAGAGUAAUUUUCACAGAAACCUUGAUCAGAAACCAUAAAUCAGUCUGAUGUGCUUUUAUGGUCUAAUAACAUUCCGUUUGCUCCUACAGGUCUGUAUGUAAAACUGCAUUGCAGUGAGUCCUCUGGAUUUUCUUUUUCUUUUUUUGUGUAGCUCAUUCUUGCUCUCAGGCACUUACUCACUCUCCCUCCCUUCAUUCUCCUUCUCCCUCUCAGCCUCUCUAACAUGAUUUCUAGGCACACAUAAGCGCAUACCCAUCAUCAUUGGUAUAGUUCGUGUGUUACAAAACAGCAUUUAACUGCCAUUGUAUACAUGCCAAGGUAGCGGGGAUGCAUACACUUUCAGAAGGGGAAAACGAUGUGUGUUAGAUAACAAUGAAGUAUCUCUGACCGCAGUAGUGAAUGCAUCAGUUGUCCAGGCUGUGCUAUGUCUUGGUCGACUUCAGAAUGAGGUUUGCAUGUGUAUGAUUGUGUUCUGCUGUAUACUGAUUGCCAGAGGCUUGCACUCUUCCCUCAGUCCAGCAGAAAGAGUAUGAUGUGGAGUGGAAUGUAGGCUAGUGGGAUAUCUGGAAGAAGAUCUGUGAUCUCAAGGCAAAGGAGGCAUGAGUUUGAAGUAAAUGCAGUAGGAUAAAGGCAGCAGUGCAAAGGUUGCUAUCUGUUGAAGGUGAGGUCCUGAGCCUGUUAUUCAGUUGCAUCAAUGGCAGGACUGAUAAGCAAGCAUCAGCAUGCCAUCAGGCUACUGUGAAGUAUGUGCAAGUUAGCCAUAGUGAUCACCUACCUUAGCCUGCAGCAUAAUCUGAACAUAUCUGUGUACUUGGCUCAAGGACCAGGAGGAAAAGGCAAACCAGGUAAAAACCAAUCUCCACCAUCUCACCUACUUAUGUGUGUGCUACCUAAAAGUCCUCUGGGUAGGUACAAUGUAAUGGGUAGCCGUUUCCCUUUUAGACAGAAGAAAGAACACUUAUAUCUGUGUUUUCCACAGGAUGGAAACAUCUACAAGUGAAAAAUCAUUCCUGCAUUGCAGUUUGGUGAAUCAGUGCAGGAAAUGAACAAAGACCCUCUGACUCAGGCUGGGAGAGUCAAGCUUUGCUUUGGAAGGGAGGAAAGCUGGCAACAAGCUCUGAUUUUUUUCACUGCUAAUGUAUCGAGUGAUAAUUACUCCCCAGUAGACCUCCAUAAAUUCCAACAUUCUUAACCGGUGCUUCAUGAAUAUACGAAAGGGCUGAAAUGUACCCAGGUGUAUUAAUCAAAAUUUCUAGGACACUCUUCCUUACUUGGUAGUAAGAUACAUCUCCAAUUAUUUAUACCUAUAUCUAUUUUCAUAUCUGCAGGCAUUGCCCUUGUGCAUGUGAGUAGAGUCUUGUAUUGGAUGCUGGCAUAGCAAGCAAUCAUAAGGACAUUCAAAAUGUCAAUGAAAGGAUAACUGUAGAAUGUGGAUGUCAGCUUCAUCUGUAGGGCUCUUUGUUUCCAACUGUAAGUCACAUCAAUCCCCUUGCCUCACAUGCAAUAGUAUUCAAGUUAGGCAGCAGGGCUGUGUUCCUUUUUGUUUAAAUUUAUUUCCUUUAGCAAGAAAAUAUUUUUUCUCCCAUCAUAUCACAGAGUCCUGUCACCAUUGCUGCACCCUGAGUCCUCAGUAACAGUUCAGCACUGAAUUUUCAGAAACUGACAGGCAAUUUCUCCUUUUGCAACAGCUGGGGCUUUUCAGUGCUGCAGUAGCAAAGGCUAAAUGUGAAAAGGAAAUGGGGGUGAACACAAGUCCUUUCUCUCCAGUGUCCACUGCCCUUGGAUUCACAGCCCAGCAUUUGCUGUCUGUGUAGGAACUAUUUCUAAACCCUCAUAGCUGGAGGCAAUGUACACCAGACCAGUGGGGUGGGAGUAAUAAAGGAGAGAUUCAGUAAAGAACAAAUUCUUUUCAGAUUAGCUGAUUGGCAGCUGUGAGUAACUCGGCUCUGGCAGCAAGGCUGGAAAGAGCAGCCUCAACCUUGGUGCUCAUUAUUUAGCUGUAAGCCUUUCCUGCCAGGAACAUUUUUCUCUUUCAAUUCCUAAACUACUUUAACUCCUUAUGAUCCAAUCCUUCAUCAAAAAGAGUGAACUAAAAAGACCUUUAUUGGAACCCCUAGGUUGUAGAUGAGAAUUGACUGCAAGAUACAACUUCCUUUACCAACAAUUCUAAUCAGAGCUGAUAUUAUGUUAGGAAAGUCUGAAUUAACACUAGGUAUAUAAUACUCAUUCUGUGUCAGAUCUGAUAGAUGUCUUGAGGAAAAAAAAGAAGAAAUUAGUAUCAUAUGUAGGUUUUAUAUAUGACUACAUAAAGAAUUUAACCUACUAAGAACAAGAGGGAACAUGAAGUAAUAAUUUACUGAUUCUAAAGGUAUCUCUUCUUGGCAGUCAGGACAAUGCAAUCAACAGAGGUAAUGUUCUUAAAGCCUCCUGAUCUAAACGUAAAAACGUCAUCAGAGCUAACAGGAGGCCACUUUGACUCUGAACUGCUGUAAGAGAAACAUAAGCAAAACUAACCUUUAAAGCCACAGUCUUAUGAUUUAAUCAAAAUAUGUUUAUGUACAUUCAAUUAUGACAUCUAACUGACAGAAAAAGGACUUGUAAAAAUCAUUUGUCUCUCUACGUAUAUCUCUUGGGUGUAUAUUGAUGUAUUUCUACAGAUAUUUAUAAAGAACUUGUUUUUUCCAUGAAGCUCAAAAAUUACAUUAUAAUUUAAAAAUAUUG
rnacentral:lncRNA from 1 species